GGCUAUUAACAUCAUAAGCCAAAUUUCCGACGAAAAGCUUGGCUUCUUCCGAUGGCUCCGGGAACUCAGCUCUUUCGCUCACAGCUCCUUCGCUCACAUCUCCUUCGCUCUCAUCUCCUUCGCUCACAUCUCCUUCGCUCGCAUCUCCUUCGCUCUCAUCUCCUUCGCUCACAUCUUGUGACUCUAAACUGUUCUCGGUCUCCUCAACAGCGACGCUUCCUUCUCCACCUUCUUCAGCCCAAUCCGAAGUCUGGGCAACGAAGGAGACAAAGGGGGAUUUUUUAAGGUGGGUUUUGGUUUUAAGAGAUAGAGAGACGCGAGAGAAAGAGAGGGGCAGGUUAAUGCGUCCGGUAAGGAGGGAAACACUGGAGCUGCGAAUUCUGGAGGAAGAGAUGGUAGAGGAGAUGGAAGGAUGGGAGAAAAUGGUAGAAGAGGAAGAAUCGGCCAUGGCUAAAGGCUUCAAGCUAGAGGUAACUAUAGAAGAAGCCAUUGCUGAAUUGUGAGAGAUAGAAGAAGUGGAAGUGGAAGGAGAAGAGAAAAGAAGAGGAAGGGAAGGGUUUUAGAACGGUGGGCGAGAUAAGGAUAAGGAGGGCCGAGACAUCAUCUUCAAAUGGGCUCUUAGAUUUACCAUAGUUAAAAUCUCAUUACAAGAACCAAAGACAAAAAAUAACCAUGUCCCUCUGCAAAGAAAAUUUCACAAUCUCUUACGAAAACAAGGUUUAUAUAAACUUAUCAAAACGAAGUUUAUAUUAUAAAAAAAUAAUACACAAAGUCUAUAUAACUCAAAUCAAAGUUCUAGUCACAAUUUGAAUGUUAAUCUUACUUCAUUUUGGAAAUUACUCUAUGUUAAUUUGGAUGUUAAUUUGGGUAAGCCCCUCUACAUGUAAACACACACACUCAUGUAAAUAUAAACCCACUUAAAUUUGAAGCCCAUUUAGAACCAUCAAAAUUAUUUUGACCCAUAUAAACUCAUUUAGACCUAUUUAAACCAUAUGUGAAUUUUAAUGAAUUAUUAUUUAUUUGAUUAUUUAAUAUCAUUAAAUCAUAUAAUUGCGAAAUCACAAACAUCAUAGCAUAAACUUUAAAAUUUCACUUGAGGUAAGCAUUUUAUUUUCCACAAUACAAAGUCUCAUUUUCAAUCUUAUAAUGAGCAAUGAUAACUAUUUGUUGAGUUUAUCAAAGAGUUGAUCGACUUGAUAAACUUGUUUUGAGUUUUCUAGCUCUCUAAGAACAACCUCAUAAUGAUCUAUCUAACUUUCGGAAGAACAAUCCACUUAUUCUCGAAUACGAAUAAAGAGAAAAAUUACAAAAGGAAAUACAUAUUAGCCUUGCGAACUCGGUAGUAAAAUAUUAUGGUGUCAAACAUUUCGGUGGAGGCUUGUGUGCGUUAUGAUCGGUUUUGAAAGAGUUAACUUUAAGGGGGUGUUAUUCGUUAAUGAAUUUUAAUAGAAUUGAAAUCCAACACUAAUCCAAUGUUAUUCAACUAAUGAUUCUAAAUCCAGCUUUAAAAUCUAGUGUUAUUGGAACUCAUAUUUGUAAAUCAUGCUUAAUAGAUUUUAAAGUUUGGUGUUAUUCAAUUAAGAUUUUAAAUAUUUCAUUAAAAUCCAAUGUUGUUCAAAACUAAAAGUCUUGUAAAAUCUUUGUAUAUUAAUUGAUUUGAAAUGAAACCUCUUUGGAGUUUCAUGAGUAAAUCAUUAGAAUCAAAAUCCAAGAUAUAUUGCAGAGAUUUUGAAAUUCAUACAAACAUAUUCUUAAAAGCAAUAUCAGAAAACAAAUCUAAAGUUUAAAGAAUUAACUUUAACUCCAUAAUUGAAUAACACCAGUAAUUCUGAAUCUUUUUGUUGGUUUCAGUUAACUAUAAUUUCUUACUGUUACGGCAUCACUGAAAUAUAAAGAAUAAUAGAACAAAUAUAAUCGAUUGUUACAACUAAAUUAACUGACCAGUACACGUGACCGCACACAACUCAUAACAUGGCCACUUAAACCUUCUUGCUCCAUAGGAAUUUCUUUCGUUCCCCAAUAACUCAAAUGUAAAGAUUUUUUUUUUCAUAACAAGGAAAUUCUCUACCUAGUUUUAUGCUAUAUACAGUAUGACCAAAAAAAAAAAAAAUCUUUCUUGGCAAACUAACAUUUAAUACUCACUGACUGACCAAAUCAAACCAGCCACAUACUAAUCACACCAACUACAUCACAUCAUUAGUUGCGACCACUUGUUACUUUCAAAGUUUUCUUCUUCCUUUCGUUCCUAGAUGUAUUAUCAUGUUGCACAUGGCCAUCUUUAACAAAAGAAAAUGUGCACAUGGCCACAAAGAAAGUUGGUUAGUUGUUUAAUUAGUUACUUUCAAAUUUUAAAUAAAUCCCAUAAUCAGUGGACAGUAGUCAAAACACGAAUAUGAGACAAACCCAUCAAAAGUAGAGCUACUGUGGUAUUGACUGCUCCAAUUAUCUUUCUUUUGAAAAUUUUAGUAUUUCUUUUUUCUAUUCAAAAUCUAUCAACUUCACUUUUCUCUUCUCUCAUUGUCAUGCCUAGGAUUUUCUUUUCCUAUUUUUAAGGGUAAUUUUUCUUUUAAUUUACCGGAAUCGAUGCAUUGGCCAGAGGAAAAAAAAGUCGCGGCAGUUGGUCAAACAUUGACUGGCUCCAACAUCUUUGACCCAAAAGUUACCAUUUUACAUAACAUUACAAACUUCCGAAUAAAAAGUCAUUUUAUUUGGAAAAUCAAAGAGCCAUUAUUGACUUGCCAAAUGGGCACACUUUUAACUAACCUCUCCAUCAUGUGUGUACGCAAAUUUAUACUUCAAACUAAUUUUUGUGACUAAUCUAUGUCUUUGCAUUGCAAUGCUCAUAAGAAAAUAAUACUAGUAAAAGAUAAAGACACAAAAUCAUAUUUAUAUUAAUAUCAAGAUCAACACAUCUGCACUUGUUCCCACACUUUAACCUAAUUUAAAGAUUCCUUAAAACAGAGAAUCCUUAAGAAGGGUCCUAGAGAGCAGCUAGCCAGAGGUUGUAUUCUCCUUCAAUUUUACCCGAAUAAACAAACAAAAAAAAGAGUAAAUCAAGGGAUUAAGAAAGUCUUACUACACUACUUAAUCCCCCUUAAUUGGUGGCUUUAAUUGCCUUUUCCUAUAUAAUAAUGGGGUAAAAACUUAAGUGUGACCACUAAGCCACAAUCAGCAACGGGAACCUUUACGGCAAUUCAGUGCACCAGAAGUAGACGUCAAUGGUCCAACUAGAGAAGACGGUUUAGCCCCAAGGCUCGAAGCCUUUGCAUAGCUAGACGAGGCUGCACCACCAGACGGAGUAAAAAACGCACCGUUUAGCAACAAAUCUCCGGAAGAUCUCCAAUUCCAUCUCUUCCACUCGCUCUCAGGCGCGUCCUCAUGCUUAGUCACUUCUUUGCUAAAUCUGAUAUUGGGUGCCAAAAAUCUGUUCCCUUGACUAUUGAUUGUAGGAUUAGCACUUCCACCAAUCGCAUACAUCUCCCAAUGUGUGUAGUCAUUGUUCACCACAUGGAAGUAUCCAUGUCUACACCUACACAACAACAAUACAAUGGUCCCAAAAUUAAUCUAUAUCCAUGGUCACAAUCACAUUAACUACUAACACAAAGUGAUUUUUUAUUUACCUGGGCAUUCUUUGGACAAGGCCUUCACCAAAAUGGUUAAAAGCAAUGGUAACUUGCAUAUUCUUGUCACGACUGUAAGUAUCACUAUGACCAAGCAACAUGACCUUAUCAUGAUGUGUCAUAUGAUUGUUAGACAAAGUGAUAGCCGUCGAGCCCAUGAUAGCAUCAAUAAGUCCAUCUUCACAGUUAGAGAACGAACAAUGGUCAACCCAAACAUGACUUCCUCCAAAGAUAGAGACACCAUCACCGUCCGAUAUCGUUCUCCACCCGAAAUGCCGUGGAGAGCUCCGCACCAUAGCGUUGCCACCUUGCUUGCAAUCAUGGAUAUGAAUCCCAUGGAUGAUAAUGUUGGUCACGUACUGGAUCGUUAUACAAGGCCCACCAGAGAUGUGUACGGAAGCACCACGGCCAUCGAUGGUCUUGAAUGAGUUCAUGAUUAGCUCUUCUUUGAGCUGAAUCGUCAUGUCUCGUUGGAAGAUGAUCCAGAGUGGCUCGUCUUGGACCACGGCGUGUCUUAAAGUUCCGGGCUUGGGGCUAACUGGGUUGUCGUUUCCUGAGUCGGUGACCACGUAGAUCCGACCGUCACGGCCACCGAUGGCGUUUUUGCCGAAUCCAAUGGCGCAGUCAGCGAGACGUUGACGGUGUUGCUCCCAGUGAGGGUCACAACGCCAACAGUCGUCGAUUGGGUUACCGGUCGUACAUGAGAGGUAACCUAACUUCCUUCUUCCUGCAACCGACGCAUUAAUGCUCCUGCAACAACACAAACACAUUGCAAACUUUUGUUAGAAAAACAGAGACUUUUCAAAAUGGUCCCAUUUUUGUAAAGGCGAGAACUUUGUAACACUAUGCUCAAAUUGGUUUGUAAAGGUGAGAACUUUGUAACACUAUGCUCAAAUUGGUUUGUAAAGGCGACAACUUUGUAACGCUAGGCUCAAAUUGGGUUUCCAUAAAAAGCAGAAAUUUAAAGGAGAAGUGGGUUUCAAGUAAAUGUGAAGGAAGGGUUAAGGAAAAAAGAUGAAAGAUUCAUACUUGUGAACUUCUUCAACGACAGAUUCAGGGUCAGGAACUGGUGAAGAUAAGAACAAUGGAGCAUAGAGAAGAAAGGAGACAAUGGUGAUAAAGAGCUUCUUCGUCUGCAUUUUCAUUUCUCUCUCUCUCUCACUUGGAUUACAGUACUGUCUCUCUCUCGGAUUGUGGUGAGAGAAGAGGGAAGCGAAGGAAGACAGAGGAAAUAAGUAUUGAGUGGAGAAUACAGAGAAGAGGAAAUUUUGGGGGUUUAUAUAAAGAGAAAAAGGACCUCUAUACUAUUUGUUAUUGGAAUUUUUAAGGUUUAGGUCCCACUUUUUUUUUUUUAAAUCAUCUUUAGUUAAAAAAAAACCUUAUACUAUAAUAAUGCCUAGGAGGUAGGAACAAAUAAUAUGGUUACAUCCGUUACUCAAAUCUAAUUGUUGACAAAAAACUAAAUAAAAAGCCUCCAAUCUAAUUAGGUCGAUAUGGUGUACUUUUCAAAUAACUUCCACAUGACCUGUUUAGCCCAAUAUAUACAUUAUAGAUCCAGGGAGUUGGUGUUAAGUUAGUUAAGUAUAAGGAUCCAUAUCAAGUAACCAUUAUAUAGUUUAUAACAAUAUAUAUUUGCAUGUAUUUAUAAUUGUAUAUUAAUGUGUAUUUUCAUACAUUUUAGAACAGUAAAGUCGGCAUUGAGAAAAGUUUGACUUUUUCUUGAUUGGGCAUGUAGAACAUGCUUCAGCUUUGUUCUGACCUAUGAACUCAUGAAUUUAAUUGUGUAUCUACCUCAUGGCCUUUCACAAAUUUCCAAUAUAUCUUCCAUUUGCAAAUUGUUUGAACAUGCAUGUUCUACAUUGUCGUGUAGGGGAGGAAGACAUCGACGUGCCCUCUUUUAAGUCAAGAUAAAGAAGCUGGUGGUGGGAACUAGCGAUUCAACCAUAUCCACUAAGCGUGUAUGGGGUAUGCCAAGAGCCGUGGAUUUGGUAAGUAGUAAUGGUUGAGUCGAAGCACUUGUCAGUCAGUUACCUCAGAACUCCGUUUCUUAAACAACAUUCUUUAUGCAUCAAGUGGGAUAUAUAUAUUAAUUAUGUUCCAAUCUUUCCAAAUAUACCAUAGAAUCGAAGAAAAUUAUCGAAUAGCAUCAUUUGUUCCCACCAAGUUUCUUAGCUCUUCAAAGGGAUAUUUCGAUGAUGGAAGACGAUUGGAGGACGAGGGAAUCUUCAAAAUAUGUUUUAGUUAGAUAUUUCUAUACUUUUAAAUAGAUUGUUGCACUGUAUAUGCUUUACUAAUUGCUCCUACCAAUAGUUUGAUACACUAAAUAAUUCGUGCGGCACCAUUGGGCACUUGCGGAAUAUAAGAAUUUAAAAUGUAAAAUCUUCCCCAAACGAUUUGGAUCCUAUUGCAUUCACAUAAAGUAUGAUGACAACUUUUAAAGUGUGGGAUACAGUUUGGUAAAUUUUAUAUCAAUAUUGCGGGGUUCCUUGUAUUAUUAGCACAUAGCAUAUAACUCCGAUCCAAAGAAUUCACUAGGCUUUACUUAUAGUUGCAUAUAUUAAUUGCAAAACAAAAUUAAAUAACCAUUGGAAAGUUUACGUAUCAUAGCAGUUAUCUGAAUAUAAACUUUUAUUAUUCAGAGAAAUAAGAUUUCCAACCAUAGUAAUAGUACUACAGCAACAUGUCAUUCGAGUGGGAUAUCAAGGGAAAAGGAAGAUAAAUGAUUUAACGUACAUGUCAAGUAAUCUAGAAACACAAAUAGAAAAACAAAUAAUGGAAUGAGAUGAUGAGAAAGAAAACAGUAGAAUCAUGUAAUAAAAUGUCGGGAACACACAUUUAAUAAGUCGUAAUGAUUCUAUUGAAGAUAAUUGUCCUUGCAUGAUCUCCGCCAUAUAUCAUUUAAAUUUCAAUAUCCGUAUAUCUCUAUGGACACCUAACUUUUAGAUAGGGACUGAAUGAUAUUAUAGUGUUGAGGGAAUUUUUUAAAUAGAAAGGAGUUUAUAUAUUGAACACAAAAAUGAUAAUCAGAAGUGUUUGUAAGAAUACUAACUACUUAAUUAAGAUGUAGAAGAAAAUAAGUAGUUUAAUAUAUAUUCUUGUCUUAAAACGUAGAAAAAAUUAAUUGCAGCUAUUUGCUUCAUGAUUGGUGUCGGUGAAAAUGUAUUGAGAAAACAGUUUGUUUUUCAUCGUAUUCCUUUCCACUUCAUAGUGCACCAAUCACGGUACGGGAUUUGAAAACUCUCUGGCUUAAAGUCCUUUAGGUAAUAGGUGUUGGUAAUGAUAGGUGGAAGUGGAAAAGCAUGGGAGGGAAAGUGAUUUGUGGGACAUGUAAUGUAAUGUAAUGUAAUGCUGCCCUCGUGAUUUGCCGGUUUUACGGGAUUCCCUAAUUGUUAGGUUGUUUUUGACAGUUGAGCAUGCUUUUCUCUGCUGGACUCCGUAAUCAACUGAUACGGUUGCUCUUUUAAACUAAAUUAAAAAAAUGGGUCCUCCGUCCUCAUGAAAUAAAAAGUAAAACAGCAAAUAGUGUCACCUUUGUUUUUUCUUCGACAACAACAAUAAUGUCAUUUGUUGACAAUGGAAGUCUGGUAAAAUUGUAAAUAAUAUAUAUACUAAAAUCUUAUUUUGUUGACAAAACGAAAUGUUAUAGACUUAUUCCUAGCGAACUCAUGCGACCUUAGCACAUUUCGAUUUCUUGUGGUUGUUGUUGUUCCAUACUUGAUCCUUGUAGAGAAACAAAGCGCUAGGGUUGACGAAUUUUGAUCUUCCAUGUCUCCAUUGAGUGGUUGGUUUAAUGAUGCUAACGGGCCAAAAGAAUGGAUAUUUAGUUUUGACCAUUUCACUAAAACUUGUACAUUGUUAAAUUCUUAACUAGCUCUUUCAUCAUUUUGGUAAUUUGAUCAAUUACCUCAGUUACAAUUUUUUAAAUAAUAUAGAAUUGUAUUUUGACCUAGUAGUAGAUAUAGAAUUAUUUUACCAAUACUUAGAUUUCUGGAAAAAAAUCUUAAUGCUAAGUCAAAACUAACGAACCAUUUUUGUGAAAUUGUCAUAAAGCUAUAUAUUAUUUACCUUUUCACGGAAGAUAGUGCGAUUGGCUAAAAGAAGAAAUGCAACUUGAAGUUUUUCUAAACCAACAUAUGUGUUUUGUCAAUAUCUUUUGCUUUAUCGAUAAGAAACUUCAAAGCAAACAAUCAAGUUCGACAUAGAACUCUGUUCAAGGAAGAUAAUUACUUUACUUUGAUCUCGGCGGUCAUAUAGUGUGUUCCAUGAACGGACAAAUUCUUCCUCUUCCCCAAAAUUUUCCAAAGGUUAUUUUUGGCUAUUUACGGGUUGUCACAAAUUAAAAAGGAAAUGUGCAAAUAUUUAUUAUUAUUCUUUGACUUGAGGGUUAGGAUACUCAAUAUUUACAACAACCCCUAUUCAAAACACAGAUAAAUAAAUAUGAAAGUGAAUAACAUUUAAUUGAUGGAGUAGUAGGAAUCAAUCAAGGAGAGAGCUAGGGCCGCUCAUAUCAACAAGUCUUCACCUUCACUCCACUCCACCAACAAGAUUUGAUCUAUAAGAUAAAUGUGAUAACGACAACGAAGAUUUGAGUAAUUGUAGCACAUGCAUCCCAAAACUGAUUAUUGUUGAUGAUGAAGGGUAAAGUAGGCAACUCUAUCAUGCGACGUAUCCUUUUUCUUUUGUUUAUUCUUUUUCCUGUCCGUAAAGUUCGCCGAGAAUUCGAAAAAUAAGUAAUCUUAUGCUAUCCAACCAUAUAUCAUACGUGGCACAUUUCAUGCUAUCCUCUCUACUCAUUGAUUGAAUGAACGUAAUUUUGGUGACAUGGAACUUAGAAGGAUUCCAAUGUCAAUAAACCCUAUAUACUCUGAAGCAAAACAUAAAAACUUUGUUUACAUCUCCUUUUGAAAGGUGUUUAAAGAUUUCUUGAUGUCAUUUGAAAUAGAACUUUAGUUCCAACAGUUUCGAAACGGUGAGAAAGGGGAUGAAUUA
rnacentral:lncRNA from 1 species